GAUGAACGCUGGCGGCGUGCCUAAUACAUGCAAGUCGAGCGACCACACGGGGAGCUUGUUCCCCUGAGGUUAGCGACGGACGGGUGAGUAAGGCGUGCAUAAGCUUCCUCUUAUACGGGGAUAACAUCGUGGAACAAGUGCUAAUACCGCAUCAUACGUUCAACCGCAUGAUUCAAGAGUGAAAGACGCUUUUGCCGUCACUAUUAGAUGAUUCCGGGUCGCAUUAGUUAGUGGGUAAGGUAACGGCCAACCAAGGCAACGAAGCUUAGCGGACCUGAGAGGGUGAUCGGCCACACUGGAACUGAGACACGGUCCAGACUCCUACGGGAGGCAGCAGUGGGGAAUCUUGGGCAAUGGGCGAAAGCCUGACGGAGCAAUGCCGCGUGAGUGAUGAAGGUCUUCGGAUCGUAAAGCCCUUUUGUUGGGAAAGAAAAAAUGUAGAAGUAAAUCCGCAUGUUUUGACGGUACCUAAACAGAAAGCCACGGCUAACUACGUG
rnacentral:rRNA from 1 species